UACGUAGGUGGCGAGCGUUAUCCGGAAUGAUUGGGCGUAAAGGGUGCGCAGGCGGUCCUGCAAGUCUGGAGUGAAACGUAUGAGCUCAACUCAUGCAUGGCUCUGGAAACUGGAGGACUGGAGAGCAGGAGAGGGCGGUGGAACUCCAUGUGUAGCGGUAAAAUGCGUAGAUAUAUGGAAGAACACCAGUGGCGAAGGCGACUUACUGGACUGUAACUGACGCUGAGGCAUGAGAGCAUGGGGAGCAAACAGG
rnacentral:rRNA from 1 species